AACCUUAAGAAAUGGAAUCUCUCUCUCUCUUCCUUCCGGGCCCUGCGAGAGUCAUCCUUGCCCCACAAGCACUAUUCUGCAUAGUAUUCCAUUGACCACGAGCCAGGAUGUGUGCUCUGCAUGGAAGGGCCUCCGGGUGGCUGCAUGGGUAGUUAUCAGGUAUCUGAGUUGCCAGAAACUCGGGGGAACACUCACCUCUGCCCGCUCUCAUUCUUUGUUUUUAAGUUAAAUUCAUUUGUGUGUAGAAGAAUCCUCCACCCUCUUGCCAUGUCUCCCAUGGGAUGGAUGGUCAGAGGACAGUUUCUUUCCUGUUUUGUGGGGCCACAGGGAUUUUGCCAGGUGUCUUAUCUAUUUUAAUAGCCACCUCCUCCAUUGAGACCAGGCCCUUUUCUGUAGUUCUGACUGAAGUCAGUGAAUAGAGCUAUGUACCCAAAACUGGCUUUGAACACUC
rnacentral:lncRNA from 1 species